UUUGAAAGCCAAAUGUGAGAUAUCACAGAUCAGCUCACUGAAACCAGAAGCAUUGAGGAGGUUACAAGCUGGGAAUCCCAAAAUAGGAAGCACUCAAAACACCUUUUUGAGAUGGACAUAACUGUGCUUUAGAAAUAAGACACAGGACUUCUGAGUGUGAUGCUACCCAGUGCAUGGGAAACAGAGCACAGCAUAGCAAGUUGCCUCAACAGUUCUGAACAUCGUGACCUAACAAUAUAGCAGCAGCCUAGGAGUGGGGUAGAGAAAAUAUGCCUUGCAGGGGCUGAAGGAAGACAAAGUCACAUGUGCAGUAAACACAGUGACACAGAGAAAUGCAGGACAUGUUCAAGGCACACACAGACAGAGUGAUUCGCAGUGCCCAGCCCAACAGCACUCUCUGCUCAGCCCUGGAUUCUCAGCUGCAAGCCCAUGUAAACCCUGUAAACAAAUAAACUCAUGGCCUGUGAUUUGCUGGGAAGGGGAGCAGACUAUUUGAGCUAAAGAGAUCUUUGCUGUGUUUACAGCA